AAAGCUCUGCAACCUCCGUCAAGGCCUCUUUCCACUUCCGAACUUUUUUACUAUCAUCUCCAAACCUUUCUCCAUGCUUAACAAAAGCAUGUGCGAAAGAUCCUCGCUGGUGCCUCACAUCGGUGGGGUCUACAUCGUAGAAGACGGGAAAACAUGGCGACCGAAUUGGGACCGAGAUCGGAGGAUGACGAGUAGCUCAUCCAAGCACCACCACGAAGAAGCGUAGUCGGGAGAGAGAGAUUGCUCGAUUGCAUUGAGGAGCUCUGGCGCAAUAAGUUCUCCUCUCUGAGGAUCGUAAGACACUUCCAUUUAGAUAGGAAGAAUCAAAAUUCAUAACACUUUCUUCUCUGUACAAUUAUGGAAGUAGUUGAAAAUAUCAACACUUAUGAAGAAAAUUAAUGUUAGGCCCAGACCCAGCCCACAUCACAGUGCUAGUCCCACAUCGUUAACGCAUAGCAAAACUCAAGUAUUUAUAUAACCGUUGCAAGGAACAACAGUCACGACCUUACUUGAACAGGAUCUGUUCUAUAGGAUCGUACUACUGUGUCCUUAUAUUCUAAGGAGACAGGAACCUAAAUCUGGUGGAUGAAUCAUGACCGUCGAUCAGAGCGUGAUUAACGGUUCUGUGAUGGGAGCUUUGGUGACCAUUGCAGUUGGCUGUAGAGGAUCGUUCUCAGCUUCACUUGUGAUCUGGGAUGGUCGCACGGUUGUCUGACAGAUUUCAAUCUUUUUUUUGCGUUGUCUUUUUGAUUCCGUUCGUUUUCCGGUGAAGAAACGUAACCCUAAACCCUCUCUCUGGACCGCUUCUUUCAACUGGGUCGCUUCCGUGUCCAGAACGUCGUCGUCAAAACACACGACCGUCAUAUAGAAUUUGCUUUUAGUCCAACUUAGCAUUUUCUGUUUGGGGAGUAAUUUGCGUGAGAGCAUGUUUUGGAGGAGUAGGAUCAGAAUUUCCCUGAUGAGGUCGAAACUUUCGGAGAGAGCUGGUCUGGUUUCGCUACUGGCUUUGGUCAUGUAUUGUUUCUAGAGCUACGAAAGAGACUUCAAAAUGUUGGCAUUCGCUCUAUUUUCUGUGGGGAGACAAAGAAUCUGAAGGAUUUUGGCUUAAACAGGGUUUUUCAUCAAUAGCACAAGUGGAUACCAAAGGUAGAGAGGGCUGAUAUUCGCAGAGCAUUAUGCUUUCCCGGUGGUUCAACUCUGAUGGUUUGCCCUCUAAGGAAUGAAUUGUUAGAUGACAAUGCUAACUCUGGGAAGUCUCUCCCCUCACUACCUCGUCAGAAUUCCUCUACACCUGCAAUUGUUGAAAAUGAACAGCUUGAAUUUUCUGGGGAACUACUCAUUGAUUUGAAAUCUUCCCAUAGAACAGACACAAAUCAAAGUCAACCUAAGGCUUUGGUAAAAGAUGGAUCUUCAAGCGGAUAUGGAAAACUUAGUGGUAAUUUUUUUCUGGAAUUAGAAAAAAGUAAAUAAAAUAUUCGAUUAGGACUAUUUGGGUCACAGGACUGAUGUCAUCUUCCAGUUUA